UUUUCAGAUGUCAAAAGUGUUGAAUAUUUGGUUUAGUGUGUUUUCCCAGCUGAAAUCAGGACACUUAAGAGCCACAGACUCCUGUGGAGCUCCUCCGACCUACUGGAAAGCUGAAAAACUUGAACCAAGGCAGCAAAAGGAAUGAAAACACAUCCAGCUCUAGCCACUUCCAUCCAUCCCAUUCUGCUGGAUAGCCUUGGAAUGCUGUGGACACAUCCCAGCAGUGUUUGGAAAAGCCUCGUGGGCUGUUUGUGCCCUGGACAGAGAGGGUGCCCCGUUUGGGAUGUCCAGGAACACCCGGGGGGAGCUGCUCUUGAGGGAAGCUCUGCUGAGAGAACACAGGAUUCGCCCCUAAACCAGCUG